CAAGUGGGCAGCUUAUAUCGUGGAAAGAAACCUCGAAGGCCUAAAGAAAGAAAACACUUGUGAUGGGCAAAAGGAUGCCUCUCUGCACGUGGGACCUGAAGUGGCAGUAUGUCACAUACCAGUCUCCUUCAUGCCCCCUUAGAGCCCAGGCUGAAGAGAAACUCAUA